rnacentral:rRNA from 1 species
UGGGGAAUCUUGCGCAAUGGGCGAAAGCCUGACGCAGCGACGCCGCGUGGGUGAUGAAGGCCUUCGGGUUGUAAAGCCCUGUGGGGAGGGACGAAUAACAACGAUCUAAUACGUCGUUGGAUGACGGUACCUCCUUAGCAAGCACCGGCUAACUCUGUGCCAGCAGCCGCGGUAAGACAGAGGGUGCAAACGUUGUUCGGAAUUACUGGGCGUAAAGCGCGUGUAGGCGGUUAUGCAAGUCGGGUGUGAAAGCCCAGGGCUCAACCCUGGAAGUGCAUUCGAUACUGCGUAGCUAGAGUACUGGAGAGGAUGGUGGAACUCUGGGUGUAGAGGUGAAAUUCGUAGAUAUCCAGAAGAACACCGGUGGCGAAGGCGGCCGAUCUGGACAGAUACUGACGCUGAGACGCGAAGCGUGGGGAGCAACAGGAUUAGAUACCCUGGUAGUCCGACGCCGUAAACGACUGGGUGCUAGGUGUCACGGGUAUU